rnacentral:rRNA from 1 species
GAGUUUGAUCGUGGCUCAGAUUGAACGCUGGCGGCAUGCCUUACACAUGCAAGUCGAACGGCAGCAUGAUCUAGCUUGCUAGAUUGAUGGCGAGUGGCGAACGGGUGAGUAAUACAUCGGAACGUGCCCUGUAGUGGGGAGUAACUAGUCGAAAGAAUUAGUCUAAUAACCGCCAUACGACCUGAGGGUGGAAAGUAGGGGGACCGGC